UGGUCUCCAACUCCUUGCCUCAAGUGAUCCUCCCACCUCAGCCUCAGGUUCUUUGAACAUAAUUAUUCCCAAAUUACAAGUAGAGAUAACUGAAUCUCAGAGAGGUUAACUUGCCUAAGGUCACACAGCUAUGAAAUGGAGAAAGGGUAAGAAAAUCCGUCUGACCUUCCUUCAGUUAUGCAAAAGAUGUCAUGUGGUGGGUGGUGUGACCUCAGAAAACCUAGAGGAGUGGGGGUCCAGGCUGGUGGUGGGGUAAAAGACCCAAGUGAACACACCUGUCCUGCUGGGGUAACUACUCACCCCUAGGCCACAGGGCAAGCAAAGUGGCAAGCCGCAAAUUGAAUUGGGGGGCUGGAGGGGGAUGUUUCAUUGAUGUCACAAAUGAGCAUGGACCCCAUAUCUGCAGCAGGGAUGGUUCAGGGCCAGUCAAGGAGAUGAUCGGGGCCCACGGACCCUCAAACGCGUCAGGAAGCCAGAGCUAUCAGCUUCCCAGUUUGCACACUUCAUCAAGAAAUAAUGCGGGGCCACUGGCACAAAUGAUGAGGCAUCUCCCGGAAGCUUAACUUCCUAUCCAUCCCAUCUCUUGGACAGACGAUGCCAGUUAAUUACUUUGAAUAGAAGAAGAUACAGAAAAUGAAAAUGAAAAUAAAAUUUGGUACUACAGUGCAAAGGUUCAGCUUGCAGAAUUAAUUGACUGUCUAGACAAAGAUUAUUGGGAAGCAGAACUCUGCAAAAUUCUGGAAGAAAUGCAUGAAGAAAUCCACCGACACAUGGACAUAACUGAAGACCUGACCGAUAAGGCUCGGGGCAGUAUCAAAUCCUUUCUGGCAACAGCUAAUGGCAAGAGGGGCAUUUUCUCAUUUUAUUUUUGUUAAGUCUGAGCUAAACUGUUGGUAUGAAAUCACUGCAAAAUUUAAAAAUAGAUUAAAAUUUUCUUUUCUUUCUUUUUUUUUUUUUUGAUUUGGAGUCUCGCUCUGUCGCCCAGGCUGGAGCGCAGUGGCACAAUCUUGGCUCACUGCAACCUCUGCCUCCCAGGUUCACGCCAUUCUCCUGCCUCAGCCUCCCGAGAAGCUGGGACUACAGGUGCCCACCGCCACCACGCCCGGCUAAAUUUUUGUAUUUUUAGUAGAAACGGGGUUUCACCAAGUUAGCCAGGAUGGUCUCGAUCUCCUGACCUCGUGAUCCAACCGCCUUGGCCUCCCAAAGUGCUGGGAUUACAGGCUUGAGCCAUCGUGUCUGGCCAAAAAUAGAUUAAAAUUUUCAAGUACAGUCAUGCAUUGUUUAAUGAUGGGGAUACAUUCUGAAAAAUGUGUCAUUUGGCGAUGUCCCAAUUGUGUGAACAUCAUAGAGUACACUUAUACAAACCUAGAUGGUAUGGUUUCCUAUACACCUAGGUUAUAUGGCAUAGCCUAUUGCUGCUAGGCUGCAAACCUGUAUGUCCUGUGACUGUACUGAAUCCCGUGAUCAGCUGUAGCACAACGGUAGGUAUUUGUGUAUCUAACCAUAUCUAAACAUUUAAAAAGGUACUACAUAAAAUCUUAUGGGAUCACCGUCAUGUAUGUGGUUCCUCGUGGACUGAAACAUUGUGCAGUGUAUGGCUGUGUGUAUAUUUUACUUUAGUUCUCCAUAUUUCAUUUUCCGAAGAGAACCUUGUUCAUUCCCACAUAAAUUAGGGAUGCUAUACAUUUUAGUGUUUUAUUUCUGCCUUGGGUCAUUACUAAUAUUCCCCAAAAUGUUAGUUUUUUUCUUUAAUUCAAGUAUCUUUUUAAACUUUUUUGGCAUUCCAGCUUUUAAGAAAUAAUAUUUUUUGAACUUUUUGCCUUUUUAAAAAAAUAAAACUUUAAAUUUUAGAAUAAUUUUAGAUUUGUACAAAAGUUGCAAAGAUAGUAGAGGGUUUCCGUAUAUCCUGUACUUGGUUGCCCCAGUUAUUAACAUCUUAGAUUAGUGUGGGAUAUUUGUUACAACUAAUGGGCCAGUGUUGACACACUGUUAUUAACUCAAGUCCAUACUUUACUCAGAUUUCCUUAGUUUUUACCUGAUGUCUUUUUUCUGCCUCAUGAUCCUAUACCACAUGAUAUUUAGUCAUCAUGUUUUCCUCUAGACUGUCGGUUUCUCAGACUUUCCUUGUUUUUGAUGGCCUUGACAGUUUGGAGGAGUACUGGUUAGGUAUGUUGUAGAAAGCCCUCCUUAUGGGUUUUUCUCAUGGUUAGCCUAGGUUUUUGCAUUUUGGGGAGGAAGACCACAGAGGUGAUGUGCAGUUCUCGUCUUAUCAAGAGUGCAUGCUGUCGUCGUGACUUAUCACUGAUGAUGUUAACCUUGGUCCUCUGGGUGAGGCAGUGUUUGUCAGGUUUCCCUACAUCCUCCCCCAUCUCCUCAAACCCCCAAUACUGUAAGUCACUGUAAACAGCCACACUUAGUGGGUGGGGAGUUAUGUUCUACCUUCCUGAAGGGGCAAUAUCUACAUAAAUUAUUUGGAUUUUUUCUGCACAGGAGAUUUGUUUAUUCGUUUAUUUUUUCAGACAUUUAUUUCUAUGAGUAUAUAUUCAUGGAUAUUUAUUUUAUAUUCAUUGGGUUAUAACUGGUUAUUUAUUAGGUUAUAAUUCAAUGUCACCUUAUUUAUUUUGUUACUCAACUCUGCUUUUCUUUUUAUUUAAGUUUUAAAAACAUACAUACCUUAAAAGUUUAAAUAGUAUAAAAAGGUAUGCUGUGAAAAAUGAAUCUCUCUCCUUCAUAAUCUCCAAUCUGACCUCCUUUCUCCAGAGGCAAUCAUUAUUGCUAUUUUUUCAUCCUGCUAGAUGUAUUCUGUGCAUGUUUAAUAAAUACCACCUGUGUUUUCUAAUAUAGCCAUCCCUCAGUAUUCUCAGGGAUUGCUUCCUGAGCCCUCUGCAGAUAGCAAAAUCUGUGGAUGCCCAAAUCCUGCAGUCAGCCCUAUGGAACCUGCUGAUAUGAAAAGUUGGCAUUCCACAUCCAAGAGUUCUGCAUCUUGAGAAUACUGUAUUUUCAAUCUGAGGUUGAUUGAAUCCAAGGAUGCGGAACCUUUGGCCACAGAGGGCCAACUGCAGUGCCUUUUAAGUUUUAACUUAGAUAAAAUUGUUAGGUAAGAUUCUGCAAGUACACUUUUAAGUGCCUGGUUCUGAGUUCUGCUCUUCUGCAUACAUUAUCUGCCAUACAUAUAAUCCUAUUAAUUUUCCCCAUUCUCCAUUUGCUUAAAAAUAGAAUGUUUAUAUUUAAUUAAGACACCCAGAUAGCUGCAUCCAAGCUUGUUCUCACAUAUUCUGCAUCAAUAUUCCUGUGAAUUCGUGCAUAUUUUUGGAGAAUGAUAGGCUCUCACAUAUAAAUAGUGUUGGGCACAAAUAUACUUCAUCUGCAGAAAAAAGCAUUCUUAGUUACUGUGAAUUAUAUUUAUUCAUAUCUGGUAGUUGGAAGUAUUUCUCUAUUAGAUCUGUUUAGAAAAAUGUGUAAUUUUUUUAUUAGAAAGGUUUUAGUGUUCAGGAGUUAGGAUCAGUAAUUGCAAUAACACAAUCACGGUCUUACUCUUUCCUCCAUAUAUAUCAAAUCAUAGGAAAUUUUAUUAAUUUCAGCCAGCUUACUCCCCCCCUUCAUUUCCUUUUAUGAAUCAUGGCAUUAAAAUAGACAAAUCCCUUUUUGCUCUCUCGUGUUUUGGUACAAUAACAGAUAACAAUCUUUAGUCCCCUAAAAGGCAAUGUGAGAUAUGAUUUUAUAAAGUAUGUUGAAUUAGAAAUGUUUCCCAGAGUAAAAAAUAAAAAUAGAAAAAAAAAAACAAAAAACAAUCAGAAGAAUAAAUAUUUUCAAGGGCAAGCUUGUCUGUGUAUAAAAUUAUAUAUACAGUAUAAUCAUAAUUAAAGAACAAAAUCAAAACAGGAAUGGAUAAUCAAAAGUGUUAAGUGGUCUGAUUUGGGGCAAUGUAAAAAACUAAAAAUGUUAAUAUAGGGCAAUUGGAAAAUUUCAUUAUGAAUUUUCAUGUGAUAGAACACUACGUAUUGGAGAAUUAAGUAAAGUACCAUGCAAAAACUG